rnacentral:rRNA from 1 species
AUCAGCACGGCCCUUACAUCCGGGGCGACACACGUGUUACAAUGGCAUGGACANAGGGCAGCUACCUGGCGACAGGAUGCUAAUCUCCAAACCAUGUCUCAGUUCGGAUCGGAGUCUGCAACUCGACUCCGUGAAGCUGGAUUCGCUAGUAAUCGCGCAUCAGCCAUGGCGCGGUGAAUACGUUCCCGGGCCUUGUACACACCGCCCGUCAAGCCAUGGGAGCCGGGGGUACCUGAAGUCCGUAACCGCAAGGAUCGG